ACUCCUACGGGAGGCAGCAGUGGGGAAUAUUGCACAAUGGGGGAAACCCUGAUGCAGCCAUGCCGCGUGUGUGAAGAAGGCCUUCGGGUUGUAAAGACACUUUCUAGUAGGGAGGAAGGUAGUGUAGUUAACACCUGCAUUAUUUGUACGUUACCUACAGAAGAAGCACCGGCUAACUCCGUCGCCAGCAGCCGCGGUAAGUACGGAGGGUGCGAGCGUUAAUCGGAAUUACUGGGCGUAAAGCGCAUGCAGGCGGCCUGUUAAAGUCAGAUGUGAAAAGCCCGGGGGCUUAAACCUCGGAAUUGCAUUUGAAAACUGGCAGGCUAGAGUCUUGUAGAGGGGGUUAGGAA
rnacentral:rRNA from 1 species